CGGCUAGGGUAGAAGACAUUCCCUAUAAAAUCCUCCUUCCCUCCUUUAAGACUCUCCACUAGCGAUCUUCGAGCUUGAUCUCUUGAUUUCUUCCGUUGAAGUCGUGACCUCUCAUACUCGUGCUCGUCGAAAAUUGGAGCCGACGACACUGCUGAAGCUUGAGGUAAACCCUUUUCCUCCUUCCUCUUUUCCUUUCCCUCCUUUCCAUGGCCUCAUGCACCCUCGCCGGCCGUCGG
rnacentral:lncRNA from 1 species